rnacentral:tRNA from 1 species
AAGGCUUUAAGUUAAUUAAACUAUUAUCCUUCAAAGUUAAAAAUACAGUUCUGUUGUAAGCCUUA